rnacentral:rRNA from 1 species
GACAGAGGUCCCGAGCGUUAGGCGGAAUCACUGGGCUUAAAGCGUGUGUAGGCGGAUUUGUAAGUACCUUGUGAAAUCCCACGGCUUAACCGUGGAACUGCUGGGUAUACUGCGAAUCUUGGGCCAUCUAGGGGCUAGCGGAACAAACGGUGGAGCGGUGAAAUGCGUAGAUAUCGUUUGGAACGCCAAUGGUGAAAACAGCUAGCUGGGGAUGUGCCGACGCUGAGACACGAAAGCCAGGGGAGCGAACGGG